rnacentral:rRNA from 1 species
CACGUAGGGCGCAAGCGUUGUCCGGAAUUAUUGGGCGUAAAGAGCUCGUAGGCGGUCUGUUACGUCGGCUGUGAAAACCCGGGGCUCAACUCCGGGCCUGCAGCCGAUACGGGCAGACUAGAGUUCGGCAGGGGAGACUGGAAUUCCUGGUGUAGCGGUGAAAUGCGCAGAUAUCAGGAGGAACACCGGUGGCGAAGGCGGGUCGCUGGGCCGAUACUGACGCUGAGGAGCGAAAGCGUGGGGAGCGAACAGG